AACGUCAUGUUCGGGGGGAGGGCACGAACCGAAAAGAGGUUCGACGCAGGCGCGCAGCGCCGGAGAACGCCGCGUGAGCGCGGCGGCCCGGAGGGCGGAACGCCGGAGGCGUGGAGUAAUCCUCCCCCCUCCACCA
rnacentral:sRNA from 1 species